rnacentral:rRNA from 2 species
UACGUAGGCAGCGAGCGUUGUUCGGAAUUACUGGGCGUAAAGAGUGUGUAGGCGGUGUUCCAAGUCUGGUGUGAAAUCUCCCGGCUUAACUGGGAGGGUGCGCCGGAAACUGGAAUGCUCGAGGGUGGGAGAGGUAAGCGGAAUUCCUGGUGUAGCGGUGAAAUGCGUAGAUAUCAGGAGGAACACCUGUGGUGUAGACAGCUUACUGGACCACUUCUGACGCUGAGACACGAAAGCGUGGGUAGCAAACAGG